GCUAUACAUGCAAGUCGAGCGGACCGAAUGGGAGCUUGCUCUUGUUCGGUCAGCGGCGGACGGGUGAGUAACACGUGGGCAACCUGCCCGCAAGACCGGGAUAACUCCGGGAAACCGGAGCUAAUACCGGAUAACACCGAAGACCGCAUGGUCUUUGGUUGAAAGGCGGCGCAAGCUGCCACUUGCGGAUGGGCCCGCGGCGCAUUAGCUAGUUGGUGAGGUAACGGCUCACCAAGGCGACGAUGCGUAGCCGGCCUGAGAGGGUGACCGGCCACACUGGGACUGAGGCACGGCCCAGACUCCUACGGGAGGCAGCAGUAGGGAAUCUUCCGCAAUGGGCGAAAGCCUGACGGAGCGACGCCGCGUGAGCGAAGAAGGCCUUCGGGUCGUAAAGCUCUGUUGUGAGGGACGAAGGAGCGUCGUUCGAAGAGGGCGGCGCGGUGACGGUACCUCACGAGGAAGCCCCGGCUAACUACGUGCCAGCAGCCGCGGUAAUACGUAGGGGGCGAGCGUUGUCCGGAAUUAUUGGGCGUAAAGCGCGCGCAGGCGGUUCCUUAAGUCUGAUGUGAAAGCCCACGGCUCAACCGUGGAGGGUCAUUGGAAACUGGGGGACUUGAGUGCAGGAGAGGAGAGCGGAAUUCCACGUGUAGCGGUGAAAUGCGUAGAGAUGUGGAGGAACACCAGUGGCGAAGGCGGCUCUCUGGCCUGCAACUGACGCUGAGGCGCGAAAGCGUGGGGAGCAAACAGGAUUAGA
rnacentral:rRNA from 1 species